rnacentral:lncRNA from 12 species
GAAUAAUCCUGGCUAAAUAAUAGUCUGAGGAAGGAAACAUUCACUUGGUCAAUAGUUACAGAAGGCUGAACUUUGUCUUCCUUUUCAAUGCAGAUCUCAAGCCUGGGAAAGGACUGAGAGUUUCUUCACAGAGACAUACUUGAGCAAAGCAGGAUCCCAUCCACGGAAAUACCCAGGCUGCAAAAACCCAUCAUCUAUCCCGCAAAAAUUAGGAGGCUGCACAUCCUGUGGCUCAGAUGGAGACAGCAGCCAGACAUCCUGAGCUCUCAGAGGGGAGCUGCUCUUGCCCCAGGCCAUCAGCCAGACUUCUGCAAGGCAAAGGUAAAGCACAGAUUUAUGUGUAAGUGCUCAGAAUUGCAAGGAAGGUAUUUCUUUCCUCUUUGAGUGUUGCUAUCAAGUGUUCCCAGAG